rnacentral:pre_miRNA from 1 species
UCCUCCCGCCGGAUCUGGCGGAGGGGAGGGUAUGGGCGCCGCCACCGCCAUCACCGGAGGACGCCAUGGUCUCCCCUCCUGCCGGAUCUGGUGGAGGGG